UUGGAGGGUUGUGUAGGAGACUGUGGAGCUGAGAAGGAGUGAAACAGACUGAAACAAGUGAGAGAGGGGCUGGUAGCAUUGUGACCUCCGCUGUAGAGUUUCUUGGAAAAAAAGAGGCAAUUGACUUGGUUGUGGGAUCGGAGGAAGACCAACGAACUUCAGUUCUCCUGUUGUAUGGAGUUAAAGCAAUGAGGGAUCAUAACUGGACAUUCUCGAUUGGGGAGUAAAAUACGGGUAAAAUAAUUGGGCACACUAAGUCACUAUAUAUAAAAUGGGAUAUGGCAACUCAUUGGACUGACAAGAGGAGACAAGAACAGUAGACAAAACCUGGCUACAUGAGUCCAACCAUGUUUGAUGAGCCCUUUAACAGUAAGCAGUGUCAUCUGAAGAAAAUGAAUAUCCCCCUGCAACACUCAGCCCGCCGUGAGGCCUCCAAGAGUAAAUACCACAGAGGAAUAUGUCAUUUAUUACAUCCAUUAGGGGUGGAAAUUGAUCCAGACUGCAGCCCUUCCACACAAUGGGGAGACAAAGCAUUAACCUGAAACAGAUGACCCUUCACACUGUUAAUGCUUACUGCAUCUUAAAGGCUGAUCACAAACUUGUGAAACCUGGCCCAUCAAAAAAAAUCUAUUGAACACAGACAAAAGACGCAGAGGAAAUGAAUAUUAUAUGUUUGGUUCCAUUGAUUAGAAUUGUGAAAAAGUCAGUAGGAUAAGUAAAAUGAUUGAUUAGGAUACAACAAUUGGUAAUUUGGUUAAAUAGGUAAUUGGAUACUGUGCAGUGAUUUGUUUAAAAACAUGGCUGAAAAUAACAUGUUUAUCUUGUUAGGUGCUUAUCUGGAAUUGUUAUAGUACCCCUUCCAUGCUCCAUAUACAAAUGCUGUACUACAAAUAUCAGAUAUAAUUUGUACCAUACGCAGCAGCAAAGCUGCCUUUUCCAUAUACAGUUAGAGAUCAGUAUUCAUAUUAAAUCCCAUCCAAUUCAUCAACACUGAUGUUAGGGAGAGAUACCAUUGGAUACAUGUUGGGAUAAAAGUCAAGAAAAAGAUUUUUUUCUUCAGAGAACAAUUGGCUUGAGGACAAGAAAGAAUUCGUUAGAUAAGAAGGUUGGAUCAGAAAAUCAUAUUAAUUUCUUGUGUUACUAUAAAUCUUUUUUUAUUUAUUUGUUUUGCUUC